rnacentral:rRNA from 1 species
GACGAACGCUGGCGGCGUGCUUAACACAUGCAAGUCGAACGGAAAGGCCCUGCUUUUGUGGGGUGCUCGAGUGGCGAACGGGUGAGUAACACGUGAGUAACCUGCCCUUGACUUUGGGAUAACUUCAGGAAACUGGGGCUAAUACCGGAUAGGAGCUCCUGCUGCAUGGUGGGGGUUGGAAAGUUUCGGCGGUUGGGGAUGGACUCGCGGCUUAUCAGCUUGUUGGUAGGGUAGUGGCUUACCAAGGCUUUGACGGGUAGCCGGCCUGAGAGGGUGACCGGCCACAUUGGGACUGAGAUACGGCCCAGACUCCUACGGGAGGCAGCGGUGGGGAAUAUUGCACAAUGGGCGGAAGCCUGAUGCAGCAACGCCGCGUGCGGGAUGACGGCCUUCGGGUUGUAAACCGCUUUCGCCUGUGACGAAGCGUGAGUGACGGUAAUGGGUAAAGAAGCACCGGCUAACUACGUG